rnacentral:rRNA from 1 species
GAUGAACGCUGGCGGCGUGCCUAGUACAUGCAAGUCGAGCGAACAGACGAGGAGCUUGCUCCUCUGACGUUAGCGGCGGACGGGUGAGUAACACGUGGAUAACCUACCUAUAAGACUGGGAUAACUUCGGGAAACCGGAGCUAAUACCGGAUAAUAUAUUGAACCGCAUGGUUCAAUAGUGAAAGACGGUUUUGCUGUCACUUAUAGAUGGAUCCGCGCCGCAUUAGCUAGUUGGUAAGGUAACGGCUUACCAAGGCAACGAUGCGUAGCCGACCUGAGAGGGUGAUCGGCCACACUGGAACUGAGACACGGUCCAGACUCCUACGGGAGGCAGCAGUAGGGAAUCUUCCGCAAUGGGCGAAAGCCUGACGGAGCAACGCCGCGUGAGUGAUGAAGGUCUUCGGAUCGUAAAACUCUGUUAUUAGGGAAGAACAAAUGUGUAAGUAACUAUGCACGUCUUGACGGUACCUAAUCAGAAUGCCACGGCUAACUACGUG